rnacentral:rRNA from 1 species
AUUGAACGCUGGCGGCAUGCUUUACACAUGCAAGUCGAACGGCAGCACGGGCUUCGGCCUGGUGGCGAGUGGCGAACGGGUGAGUAAUAUAUCGGAACGUACCCAGCAGUGGGGGAUAACGUAGCGAAAGUUACGCUAAUACCGCAUACGAUCUAUGGAUGAAAGCAGGGGACCGCAAGGCCUUGUGCUCCUGGAGCGGCCGAUAUCUGAUUAGCUAGUUGGUGAGGUAAAGACUCACCAAGGCGACGAUCAGUAGCUGGUCUGAGAGGACGACCAGCCACACUGGAACUGAGACACGGUCCAGACUCCUACGGGAGGCAGCAGUGGGGAAUUUUGGACAAUGGGCGCAAGCCUGAUCCAGCAAUGCCGCGUGAGUGAAGAAGGCCUUCGGGUUGUAAAGCUCUUUUGUCAGGGAAGAAACGGUAGAGGCUAAUAUCCUUUGCUAAUGACGGUACCUGAAGAAUAAGCACCGGCUAACUACGUG